rnacentral:rRNA from 1 species
GCAAGUCGAACGGUAGAGGGGGCAACCCCUCGAGAGUGGCGAACGGCUUAGUAAUAUAUCGGAACGUGCCCAGUCGUGGGGGAUAACGUAGCGAAAGUUACGCUAAUACCGCAUACGAUCUAUGGAUGAAAGCGGGGGACUCGCAAGAGCCUCGCGCGAUUGGAGCGGCCGAUAUCAGAUUAGGUAGUUGGUGGGGUAAAGGCUCACCAAGCCAACGAUCUGUAGCUGGUCUGAGAGGACGACCAGCCACACUGGAACUGAGACACGGUCCAGACUCCUACGGGAGGCAGCAGUGGGGAAUUUUGGACAAUGGACGCAAGUCUGAUCCAGCCAUUCCGCGUGCAGGAUGAAGGCCCUCGGGUUGUAAACUGCUUUUGUACGGAACGAAAAGGUUUCUCUUAAUACGAGGAGCUCAUGACGGUACCGUAAGAAUAAGCACCGGCUAACUACGUGCCAGCAGCCGCGGUAAUACGUAGGGUGCAAGCGUUAAUCGGAAUUACUGGGCGUAAAGCGUGCGCAGGCGGUUAUGUAAGACAGAGGUGAAAUCCCCGGGCUCAACCUGGGAACUGCCUUUGUGACUGCAUAGCUAGAGUACGGUAGAGGGGGAUGGAAUUCCGCGUGUAGCAGUGAAAUGCGUAGAUAUGCGGAGGAACACCGAUGGCGAAGGCAAUCCCCUGGACCUGUACUGACGCUCAUGCACGAAAGCGUGGGGAGCAAACAGGAUUAGAUACCCUGGUAGUCCACGCCCUAAACGAUGUCAACUGGUUGUUGGGUCUUCACUGACUCAGUAACGAAGCUAACGCGUGAAGUUGACCGCCUGGGGAGU